UCAUCUGGUAAGGCAAACAGUUACAGAGAAAGACAGUGUUUUGCGAAAUGAAAAUAGUAUUGCUUUUCUUUCUCCACCCCUCCAAGAAAUAAUUACGGAUUUCCAUAAAUGUAAUGAGAGAGACCACUAGCAGAACUGGGGUAUCACCAACUGCAAUGGACAAUUUCAGCAUGCAAAUAAGACUCAUGAGCCCAACGAAACAGAUCUCGAAGAGUAAUGAAACCAUGCUUCCCAGCAAACACUGUUGAACCUCUGCGAUAAGACUACCAAGGAAAAAAAGACACCAAUACCUGCAAAUUCAGCAUGACUUUGACGAGUUUACUGCAGUAAGAAGGUGGCAGACUGCAUCGCUUGUGAAGGAUUGUUUCUAGCUCAGCACUUGGCAGUUCAUCAAAAUGCAGCUCCACAAAACGGUUCCUGAAGGCUCUGGACAACACCUAAAAUGCACAUUUUGGAAUGCUCUCUGUUAUCAUCCAGCAGUCUGUUGAGAGCCUCCAGAACAUCCGUAGGAGCCAAAUUCAGUUCAUCGAGGAUAAUCCAGUAACCCUUUCUCAUAGCAUCAAUAAGGACACCUGUGAUGGAAUACAAAAGGUUCUGAUUAAACCUUUACGGUAAUCUGCAUGAAAAUGUACAAAAAAACCCUGCAAAAGCAAGUAAUCCUUGCAGCCAGUUUUACUUCAGAUUAAAAUAAAAUUAACCCACAGCAAGAUGUGCAACAGCACUGAAGCUGUUAAACCCUUUAGCUCUCCUCUCUGUCAGUGCAAUGGACCAAAGAACAAGAGAUGGAAGAACAAAGGAAACCCUUUAACAUGAUAACCAAAGACCUGCACAACUGAACUAACAUGGCAUGAAAGCGCAUAUUUGCAUUUAUGCAACCAUGACCAGAGAAAGGAAAAGCUUUUUUCAUCUCUGCGUAACAUGUAAAAUGGAAGGGAAUUAAAGGUAAAUGUGAUAAGUGAUAACCUCACCUUCCUUAAACAUCAGCUUCCCAGAAGCGUCUGAUGUAUAACAGCCAAUGUACUCCUGGAUGUCAGUAUGUUCGUGAUUGUUAAUCCGCACACAGUGGUUCCCACUAGCUGCAGCCAACCAGCGAAUUAAACUAGUUUUACCAA